GACAGCAGCCGCCGCGGGAAUACGGAGGGGGCUAGCGUUGUUCGGAAUUACUGGGCGUAAAGCGUACGUAGGCGGUUUUGUAAGUUAGAGGUGAAAGCCCGGAGCUCAACUCCGGAAUUGCCUUUAAGACUGCAUCACUUGAACGUCGGAGAGGUGUGUGGAAUUCCGAGUGUAGAGGUGAAAUUCGUAGAUAUUCGGAAGAACACCAGUGGCGAAGGCGGCUCACUGGAUGACUGUUGACGCUGAGGUGCGAAAGCGUGGGGAGCAAACAGGAUUAGAUACCCGCGUAGUCCCUGUCUCUUAUAC
rnacentral:rRNA from 1 species